rnacentral:rRNA from 5 species
AAAUUGAAGAGUUUGAUCAUGGCUCAGAUUGAACGCUGGCGGCAGGCCUAACACAUGCAAGUCGAACGGUAACAGGAAGCAGCUUGCUGCUUUGCUGACGAGUGGCGGACGGGUGAGUAAUGUCUGGGAAACUGCCUGAUGGAGGGGGAUAACUACUGGAAA